CACAUCUGCCUGCACAUUGCCGUGUCCCACCAUGGUGAUAAUGGACUGAACCUCUGAACUCUCAGCCAAAGGACUGGUGGGUCGCCACUGCUAAAGAUGUUGAAGAAUGAGUUGCAACGGCAGCCCUCGUCCACCCUGCAGGAGAUGCAUGGUCAACUGCACUAAAGGAAGAAGGCAUGACAUCAAAGACAGCCUGGGAAGGAAGAGAUACCAGCAAUGAGUCCAGAUACUAGAAAUGAAGACACUGGAAGAACGGGUCGCCCGGCGGCGGUGGCGCACGCCUUUAAUCCCAGCACUCCGGAAGCAGAGCCAGGUGGAUCUCUAUGAGUUCGAGGCCAGCCUGGUCUACAGAAUUUCCAGAGACGAGCACCUUAGAUUGAGAGCAGUCAUCACCGUGGGAGACACUGGAGAAGACUGCUUCUGUCACGGCAGAAAACUCCACGGGGGCUCUACUUGCCAAGAAGGAAAUGCAGAAAGCAAGCUGAUGCUUGGCCGCCCUACAGUUCUGCUCUCUGGCCCGGUCACCGGACACAGGUUUAUAGCGUCUCCAGGCCUCUGUGCAAAAGUUUUCAGUUAAU